AGGACGAACGCUGGCGGCGUGCUUAACACAUGCAAGUCGAGCGGAAAGGCCCUUCGGGGUACUCGAGCGGCGAACGGGUGAGUAACACGUGAGCAACCUGCCCCUGGCUCUGGGAUAGCCUCCGGAAACGGGGAUUAAUACCGGAUAUUCACUGUCUCCUGCAUGGGGGGUGGUGGAAAGUUUUUCGGCUAGGGUGGGGCUCGCGGCCUAUCAGCUUGUUGGGGGGGUGACGGCCCACCAAGGCGACGACGGGUAGCCGGCCUGAGAGGGCGACCGGCCACACUGGGACUGAGACACGGCCCAGACUCCUACGGGAGGCAGCAGUGGGGAAUAUUGCGCAAUGGGCGGAAGCCUGACGCAGCGACGCCGCGUGCGGGAUGAAGGCCUUCGGGUUGUAAACCGCUUCACCAGGACGAAGCGAAGUGACGGUACCGUGGGGAAGAAGCGCCGGCUAACUACGUGCCAGCAGCCGC
rnacentral:rRNA from 1 species